GCCGGUCCAAGCCUCUCCCAAAGCCCCUGCUCCUCCUCCUCCUCCAGCCCUCCACUCCCGUCCCUCGAUCCUCCCCGCCAUCCCCCCCCCUUCUCCUUCUCUCUCCCUCUCAUCUGUCUUCUUCCCUUCCUUCAUCCAACACCUCUGCGGGGGGGAAAACCGAGGCCCCAGUGAGCCCACGGCAGGUCUGGGGCUCCAACCUGGCUCUGCCGCACGGCUCUGCCUUCCCUCCUUCUCUGCCCCCCAGCCCUGUCUGCACCCCCCAAAGCCAAGUGCUGGAGGUGGCCCCCUGGAUCCGCACAUGAGAAAAUGGGGAAGCUGCCCGUCCCCGCUGAGCCUGAGGACGCCAGGUCUCCCCUGUCUCUGCCCAUCUCUGUCUCUUUCCCUUGGGUGCCCCGAGCCAGACCUGUGUCUCCCCAGAUUAUCAGGUCGAUAGACAUUGGGAAGACAAGACAACGAAACUCCAGUGCGGUUCAGUGCUCACCGUUAGAAAAAGGGAGCGGACAUCGGGUUCCUGAGCCUCGGCGCUGAGGACAGCUAAGCCUCGUGCACAGGUCAGUGCCGUGAUGUGUCUCCUACUUGACCGUCAGAGUUCAAGGGGACGUUGAAUGGCUGGCCAUUCUGGGCCGGGCUGAGGGGGGGGGGGUGGCUUGCUGUGGAGGCGGGCGCCUCACCCGAAGGGCUUCAGCGGGGCGUGCAGGGUGGCCACUGGCAGGACCAGAGCCGAGUCACUGGAUGUGACAGACGUUAUCUCAAAGCUGGCUCCCGUCCUGGCGGCUGGGAGGCACUACGUGGCCUCAGGGGCGUUCUUUUUACCAAGGUAGCCGUAGAGACAAACAAGGCUGAGAUCCUGCUCUCUUGACUUCGGCCGUCUGUCCAUCUGGUCUCAUUUCCAGAGGGUGUUGGGUGGCUUCUGUCGUGUGGGAGGAGGGACGGCGUGAAGGUGAGCUGGGCAAGGCGGCUCGGCCUGCGGUAGCCCCACGUCUCUCCCCUUGCACCUGCCCGCGGAGGUCUCCGCCACCCUCCCGCGGUUUUCUCUGUCGUGUGAUCUGUGAUCUUCACUCACAGUCAACCUCUGGCUUCCAACCGAAAUGCCGAGGGAAUUUUGAUUCGGGUUGUGUUUGAUUUAUCGGUAAAUUUGAGGGAGAUCGGAUGUCUCUGUGAUGUUGGAUAUUCCCAAGCCGUGUGUCUGCGCCUGAGUCUAAAAGAAAAAACGUCAGAAGGAGGCAGCCCCAGAAGACGCACGUGCUGUGGGUCCGUCUCGGGGAAGUUUCCAGCAAAGGCUGGUCUGCAGGGACGGGAAGGUGCUUGGUGGCCGCCAGGGGCUGGGG
rnacentral:lncRNA from 1 species